CCUUUUCGGAGGUACUCGAGUGGCGAACGGGUGAGUAACACGUGGGUAAUCUGCCCUGCACUCUGGGAUAAGCCUGGGAAACUGGGUCUAAUACCGGAUAGGACCGCACUUUAGUGUGUGUGGUGGAAAGUUUUUUCGGUGUAGGAUGAGCCCGCGGCCUAUCAGCUUGUUGGUGGGGUAAUGGCCUACCAAGGCGGCGACGGGUAGCCGGACUGAGAGGUUGGUCGGCCACAUUGGGACUGAGAUACGGCCCAG
rnacentral:rRNA from 1 species